rnacentral:rRNA from 1 species
CCCUUAGAUGUUCUGGGCCGCACGCGCGCUACACUGAUUCAUGCAACAAGUUUUGUCCUUGGCUGAUAGGCCUGGGUAAUCUUUGAACGCUGUUCGUGAUUGGGAUAGACCUUUGCAAUUAUGGGUCUUCAACGAGGAAUUCCUAGUAAACGCAAGUCAUCAGCUUGCAUUGAUUACGUCCCUGCCCUUUGUACACACCGCCCGUCGCACCUACCGAUUGAAUGGUCCGGUGAAAUCUCGGGACGGCGGCUUGGUCGCUUGCGUCCGACUGCUGAAACUUGAUUAAACCAUAUCAUUUAGAGGAAGGUGGANUCGUANCA